AACGAACGCUGGCGGCAGGCCUAACACAUGCAAGUCGAGCGGUAGCACAGAGAGCUUGCUCUCGGGUGACGAGCGGCGGACGGGUGAGUAAUGUCUGGGAAACUGCCUGAUGGAGGGGGAUAACUACUGGAAACGGUAGCUAAUACCGCAUAAUGUCGCAAGACCAAAGUGGGGGACCUUCGGGCCUCAUGCCAUCAGAUGUGCCCAGAUGGGAUUAGCUAGUAGGUGGGGUAACGGCUCACCUAGGCGACGAUCCCGAGCUGGUCUGAGAGGAGGACCAGCCACACUGGAACUGAGACACGGUCCAGACUCCUACGGGAGGCAGCAGUGGGGAAUAUUGCACAAUGGGGGCAAGCCUGAUGCAGCCAUGCCGCGUGUGUGAAGAAGGCCUUCGGGUUGUAAAGCACUUUCAGCGGGGAGGAAGGCGGUGAGGUUAAUAACCUCAUCGAUUGACGUUACCCGCAGAAGAAGCACCGGCUAACUCUGUGCCAGCAGCAGCCGCCGUAA
rnacentral:rRNA from 1 species